UUUUUGGAGGAAAUAUCUUUAUCAAAGUACAAUUUUUACAUAAGGGUCAGCAUGAAGAUGACUAUUACCUUUUCAACAGGACUUUUUCUCUGAAAGCUCCCCCAUUCAAAAGAUAAUUAAGCCAAUCUUGGCAUUUGCUUUUAAAAGGACCCAUUUAUGAUGUUUUAAAAGGAAUGGUAUGUAUUUGCAGCUUUGAAUUACACAGGGGCAAAACUGAUAGCUCAAAAUUCUAAACAAUGCAUGUAAUAUAAUAAUGUGCAGCAGCAUUAUCCAGGAAAGCAGGAUUGAAGAAAAGACCCUCCCAGCACCAUGCAAAGGUACAAGAAAAAUAACACAUCUGGUUGAUGUGAGUCACCAUUUUUAUGGAUCAAAGCACAAAAACUGAAGCCAACAAACCGCUUAUAUUUAUUAACCUUCAAGGCUUAUUUAUAUGAAAAUUGAUGAUGUUUCAUAGUAAAAAUUGAUUUAAAUCAAUCUACUAUUAAUUUGCUUACCUAAACAGUUUUAGUCUUUAAUUUAUUAAAAAGAUAAUAUUGAAUUAACAAUUCAAUUUUUCUGUAUGCAAACCUAAAUAGGAAAAAAAAAAAAGUUGUCACUAUGCUCACAUAUAAUGUAUAGCAAAGUAAUGUUUCUGCUGUGUGACCCAUCAAGCCCAGCAACUACGAACUGGAUAUAACAACAACGGGAGUGAAUUCCCAUUCCUAUUCCUGAAAUACUACAUGAACAUCUAUCAUUAUUUCAUUUAUUUAUUGGCCAAAUCUUUACUAAGCAAUUAUCAUUUUCCCCAUCCACUAUGCAAAGAGGUAGAAGAGACUAUGAAACAAAUGUAAAUUUUCACCCUUGAAGUCAGAGGUUUACACUUUAAUUGAAGAGGUUAUCUUGCAAGUCUUCU
rnacentral:lncRNA from 1 species